AUUGAACGCUGGCGGCAGGCCUAACACAUGCAAGUCGAGCGGAUGAAGGGAGCUUGCUCCUGGAUUCAGCGGCGGACGGGUGAGUAAUGCCUAGGAAUCUGCCUGGUAGUGGGGGAUAACGUCCGGAAACGGGCGCUAAUACCGCAUACGUCCUGAGGGAGAAAGUGGGGGAUCUUCGGACCUCACGCUAUCAGAUGAGCCUAGGUCGGAUUAGCUAGUUGGUGGGGUAAAGGCCUACCAAGGCGACGAUCCGUAACUGGUCUGAGAGGAUGAUCAGUCACACUGGAACUGAGACACGGUCCAGACUCCUACGGGAGGCAGCAGUGGGGAAUAUUGGACAAUGGGCGAAAGCCUGAUCCAGCCGUGCCGCGUGUGUGAAGAAGGUCUUCGGAUUGUAAAGCGCUUUAAGUUGGGAGGAAGGGCAGUAAGUUAAUACCUUGCUGUUUUGACGUUACCAACAGAAUAAGCACCGGCUAACUUCGUG
rnacentral:rRNA from 1 species